UCAGGAGUGACUCAGUGGUAGAGCGCUUGCCUAGCAUGCCAGAGGCCCUGGGUUCCAUCCCCAGCUCCAUAU
rnacentral:tRNA from 1 species